GCAUCGGUGGCUGGCUGGGCUCGGCGCUGAUGGCGCUGCUGCUCGCCGCCGCGGGCUGGGCGUUGUUCGAUUGGGCGCUGCUGCGC
rnacentral:tRNA from 4 species